AUACGUAGGGGGCAAGCGUUGUCCGGAAUUAUUGGGCGUAAAGCGCGCGCAGGCGGUCAUUUAAGUCUGGUGUUUAAACCUUGGGCUCAACCUGAGGUCGCACUGGAAACUGGGUGACUUGAGUACAGAAGAGGAAAGUGGAAUUCCACGUGUAGCGGUGAAAUGCGUAGAUAUGUGGAGGAACACCAGUGGCGAAGGCGACUUUCUGGGCUGUAACUGACGCUGAGGCGCGAAAGCGUGGGGAGCAAACAGGAUUAGAUACCCUGGUAGUCCACGCCGUAAACGAUGAGUGCUAGGUGUUAGGGGUUUCGAUACCCUUGGUGCCGAAGUUAACACAGUAAGCACUCCGCCUGGGGAGUACGGUCGCAAGACUGAA
rnacentral:rRNA from 1 species